AACCGAAGGGGACAUGACAGCUUUGGAAGUGGAAGAGGAAACGCUGAAACGUCCCUCUCUAGCUACUGCGUAAUUGCUCUUAUUCUUAAUUAACUACUGGGGACCAGUAUGGUCGCCUACGUUGAACAUGCCGAUAUAUGGGCCCUUUUUCCUCCGGAUACAACCCUUAUAUGCUGGACCUUUCUAGCUAUCUCAAUCUACUACCUCCAUCAUGAAAUAAAAGGUAUUCUAGCUAUAUGCACCUGGAC
rnacentral:lncRNA from 1 species